rnacentral:rRNA from 1 species
UACAGAGGUCUCAAGCGUUGUUCGGAUUCAUUGGGCGUAAAGGGUGCGUAGGCGGCGCGGUAAGUCGGGUGUGAAAUCCCUCGGCUUAACCGGGGAACUGCAUCUGAUACUGGAUGGCUUGAGUUCGGGAGAGGGAUGCGGAAUUCCAGGUGUAGCGGUGAAAUGCGUAGAUAUCUGGAGGAACACCGGUGGCGAAGGCGGCAUCCUGGACCGACACUGACGCUGAGGAGCGAAAGCCAGGGGAGCAAACGGG